rnacentral:rRNA from 2 species
AAAUUGAAGAGUUUGAUCAUGGCUCAGAUUGAACGCUGGCGGCAGGCCUAACACAUGCAAGUCGAACGGUAACAGGAAGCAGCUUGCUGCUUCGCUGACGAGUGGCGGACGGGUGAGUAAUGUCUGGGAAACUGCCUGAUGGAGGGGGAUAACUACUGGAAACGGUGGCUAAUACCGCAUAACGUCGCAAGACCAAAGAGGGGGACCUUCGGGCCUCUUGCCAUCAGAUGUGCCCAGAUGGGAUUAGCUUGUUGGUGAGGUAACGGCUCACCAAGGCGACGAUCCCUAGCUGGUCUGAGAGGAUGACCAGCCACACUGGAACUGAGACACGGUCCAGACUCCUACGGGAGGCAGCAGUGGGGAAUAUUGCACAAUGGGCGCAAGCCUG